CCGGCGACCGGCGCACGGGUGAGUAACACGUAUGCGACCUGCCCCCGCAGGGGGAUAACCGGGAGAAAUCCCGACUAAUACCGCGUAACGCCGCGGACCUGCAUGGGUCUGCGGCCAAAGGAAGCGAUUCCGGCCGGGGGAUGGGCAUGCGGCGCAUUAGCUAGUCGGCGGGGUAACGGCCCACCGAGGCGACGAUGCGUAGGGGUUCUGAGAGGAAGGUCCCCCACACUGGUACUGAGACACGGACCAGACUCCUACGGGAGGCAGCAG
rnacentral:rRNA from 1 species